AUGGCGCUCAAUGUUUGUCAGACGUGUCGUAUGGUCAGCCAUAUAUUAUCUUCCUGAAUAAAAUAAAGAAUAGUUAUGUAGCACGUUAUGACGAUAUACAUUCAGCUGUUGUCCGGUUUGAUCAAAUUUCAUUGCAAGAAGAAUUAAGGAAAGGUCUCUGCUGUCCUUCUAAUAGAGGUGAGUAAAGCAGAAUAUACUUCUUUAAUUCCCACACUCGUGGCCCGCCAAUGCCACCAUCACCACAACGACAUGCGGCUAUAGGCCUGAUCGUUUACGAGUCAUUAGUGAAUCGCUAUUUAUUUAACUUGCUUGCAAGCCGCGACUAAAAUAAAUCCAGGGGAAGAAUUAGAAAACUACAGCCACUAAGUCGAAACUGUCAAAAACAAGUCGCGAGUGACGCGUUGUAAGUUAAUUGUCUGCAUACGUCACAGAAGCCCGACUUCUUGGUUUUUCCUAUUAAUUCGUCAUCAAAAUGCUGACGCCAUGGGCCUAGCCCAGAGGGCCUAGCCAGUGCGCGUUUGAGAGGCAUUCACCCCCCUAAAAAUAUUCAAAAUUGCGUAUAUCCAAGGGGGUAAUGCCUCUCAUUAAGGGCACUGGCUAGGCCCAUGGCGUCAGCAUUUUGAUGCCAUAUUGCCAUGAAUCAUGGCGUGGAAGUGGUUACUCGAGUCGACAUUCUGUUAUUAGCGAGGUUUAGCAAAGACGACGGGACGUCAACGAGGACGUGAAAAUGGCGUAAAAAUGGCGUGGGCACAGCCAUAGAUGGGCAUAUCACGUCAUUUUUACGCCAUUUUCACGUCCUCGUUGACGUCGCGUCGACUUUGCUAAACCUCGCUAUUGUAUAUCUUUGUUCUGUGACGUUAUGCCCUGUCGUAGUCUAAAUAAAUUAAUUAAACUUGUCUAAACCAACCAUUGGGCUGCGACGUAUUUUCGCUGCUAUAAAUAAAGUAAUAAAUGAUGCGAAUGUUUAAGUUUGUAUGUUGAAAAUGUCGUACUCAUCCUUUCUUAGUGUACGAACAGUUAAAUUACAGAGAAAUCCUCAGAGAUAUGAAAAACUAGUUUCAUAUUAUUCUGGUACUGCAAAGAACAACGAAAAAUUCGUUGCCUUAAUAAUAGGUAAUUCCAGCUAUGGACUAAAUUUUGAUCUCGGAAAGAAGAAGAAAAUCCAACACCACAGCUAGAAAGAGCAUGUUAAAAUUAGUAAAAUUGCAACUGGUUGCGAAAUCAGUUGUCAGUAAAAUGCGGAAAACAUAGCCCUGCGAAAUUUGCAAAUUUUGUAUGAAUUUGUAUUACGCGCGGGAAAAUGCACCACAUUAAUACAACAUUAAUACAACAUUAAUACAAAUUAAUACAAAUUUCGUAGGGCUAUAUUUUCCUCAUUUUACAACAUUUCGCAACCAAACUUUGCAAUUUUACUAAUUUUAGUAAGAUGCUCUUUCUAGCUGUACAUGUGGUGAUGGAUUUUGUUCUUCUUGCCUAGAUCAAAAUUUAGCCGUCUACUAGCUAGAAUCAUCCAUUGAACAGAAUUCAAACUUUCUAGACCGUGGGUCAAAUUGACUUCAUUACUCAAUAAUGCACUAUUAAUUACCUGAUCAUGCAUGUAUUUGCCAAUAUGGCCAACUAAUCAAGUAAUGCUUCAUGGGAAUUUCUUUUUUUUAGAUUCAUAGAUUGUAAUAAACAACUUCCGUGUAGUCGCAAUGGAUGUGGAGUUACACUAUGUGAUUGUGGACUUCGCCCAAAAGGUAAAUGUUAUCCUGAUUAAUGUUU
rnacentral:lncRNA from 1 species